rnacentral:tRNA from 1 species
GGCAGUGGCUCAGUGGUAGAGCACUCACCUCACAUGCGUAAGGCCCUGGGUUUGAUCCUCAGCACCA